UGUGGGAACAAGUGGCUUCUGCAGCAAAUAAAGUGCCCAGCACCUCAGGGUGAUUCUGCGGUUCUUCACGUGUCCCGACUGAUGCAGCCCGCAACUCUUGUCAAGCGAUCAACAUUUGGUUCCUUGUGAAAAACGGACCUUCACCCAAAGUCACCCGAGAGACUGAUGGAAAUGGCAACAGAAACUGAUACGACAUUGUGAAGCAAUUAUACUCCAAUAAAGAUGUGAAAAAGAAGUGCACAAGCUUUAAAAACCAUAAAAUGAGGACAACAGCGAUAGCAAUCUCAGAAGGUUUUUGUGAGAAUUAAGUAAAAUUGGCAACAUACUAUGGAAACAGUCCCUGGCACAUAACCAAAGGAAGCGGAGGCUUAAACAAUUCACUGAUGACUGCAGCACAGGUUGUUUAAGAAUCUGGGCAACAGAGUCCGAGUUUCUCCAUUCUCCCUGCAGUUUGGUAAAUUAAAAAAAAAAAAAAAGAUUUUGUUAUGCAGUCUCAUUUAUGGCAGUUAAGGUAAGAAAUCUCUCUAUGCGACCCUCUUAUUGGUUUUUCUUUUUAACGCCCCUCAGAACAAUUCAACAUUUCCUGCUCUGCUUAAAGUGUUUUCAAAUCUAAACAUGGGACGUAUUUUAAGAUAGCUUUUAACCGCCAAUUUUACUGGUGACUGUUAUCACUGAAAGGAAGGUACUCUGUGAUACCCAAGUUGUUUUAAUAUUUGUAAUCAAUAAUUCCUAUAAACAGACUCUGUCUUGGGAGUAGAAUAUGCAGCUGUUUCCUUUCCGCACUUACAGUGACCUCUUAAAUAUACUACAGCCCCUCAUCUGUAGCUAGUUCCACAUGUGUAGUGAAGACUUUCAGUAAAGUAUUGAUCUUACCUCCUGGAGGUCUUCCUGGAGGACGUUGCUUGAGACAAUUGUUGCAGAACAGUUUGAAAAAGAUGCCAGGUGGCAUUUUGAAGGAUUACCACCAUUUCUGAUAAGGCCUCUGAAGAGAUUUCUGGCAGCUGAAGAACAAUAAUGUGCUACAGAUUGAUAAUUUUGUGGUUUAGAACUAAAUACUUGCACCUGGCGAAUAUCAAGGUUGACCGUGAGGAUGAAAAUUAGACCUAGAUAGAAAACCUUGUGAAGGAUAGCCUAUAGGGGAGACAGUUAUCCGGGCAACAUCAACUUUUCUAGAUGACGAAAGAUCACUAAACUUUAGUGAAUGGUUUUUCCUUUUUUUACAUCACACCAGUCCUCAAGAUUCAGGGUCAGCUGCAUCUGGGAGUUUACCAAGGAUGAUAAGCUGAUUUCUACUCCAAAGAGGCAGUUGUAAAAAGAGCAGCCUUGAUCAAGGGGGCCUGUGACAGCGCCAUGAGUUUUUGAAUGAACACGCUUUCCUGUUUGUUGGCUGUGUGGCUUUGGGCAUGUUUCUUAACCUAUCUGAGCUUCAGUUUCCUCGUCUGUAAAAUAGAGAUACUAAUACCUACCUACUUUGCGGUAUUUGGUUGUGAGCAGUAGCUAUUUAUAAUAUAACAAGGUCUGGCAAAACAGUCAGCCCGCAGCAAAUACUAUUUGUUUCCCUUCCUAUCUCCCUCCCUUGCUCUCCUUGGUUUGCACUUGCUUAAUAUGUACUUGAAGUUGGGUGUUUACUUCUUUGGGUCUCAUUUCUAAAAUGAGAACUUACUAUUUCUAGGUCCCUCCUGCUUCUGAAUUUGUAUAGUACCAUGAAGUAUGAAAGGAAAUAUUUGUAGUCCACUAUCAGGAGUGUUAAUCAACGAAGACAUGGUUUCUGCAUGCUGAGAUGUGCCACCGUCAGACCAUGCUGGGAUGAUCCCUCCUUUGUUCUGUUUGGUAGCAUCUUCGUACUGAAUUUCACGGAAUCUUGGAGUUUGGCCAUUUUCAUACUCUCUUUGGAAUUGUUGAGGAUUCAGGUUGUGGGAUGGUGAGCUCUCUGUUGGUAGAACAGUUACAUAUUCUACAGCCCUUCUCCAGUUUCUGGUUUUGCUCUGGAAGACCUUGAGCGUCACAGAGCUGAGGAGAUCCCUGAAGGUAUUGAGUCAUGAAAGUUCCCUCCUAUUCCAACAUUGCCUUAUCAGAAGCACAUGGACAACUGAGCACUGACGCCGCCCCACUGAGACUGGAUUGGAUGGGUCAAGGGCAAGGAUCAGUGGUGCAGUGUGGUCCCACAUGCAGAUCACUUUGAAGCAAAGUCCAAGCGUUGUAUCACUUCAUCUGUGUUUCAGUAUGUACCUAAAAGCUGUGAAGAGUGAGACAGGGGUGUCUGUGUGGAGUCAUUGGGCUGAAGAUUUUCAUCUACAAACCAGGUUCUCAUCACAAUCAGACACACUGGAUUAUAUUUGUUAAAUGUUGUCUCCCUAAACUGGAACAUAAGCUCCACAAAACUGGGUGUGUUUUGUUCUCCGCUGUAUCCUCAUUGCCUAGACCAGCAGCCUAUACUAGUGAUGGAAUUUCUUAUUUGGAUGAUAAAGUGUGCUUUAGUCACCUGUCAUAUACAAAGAUGGCUGAGAAUUACAAGGGGCCAGGGGGAGCGGCUCCUCUCCAGAUCACUUCGUGAAAAGUGGUGCACUUUUUAUCAGCUCUAUUUGGAGUCCUUCCCUGGGUUUUGAGAUCUCCAGGAUGUUCCAUCUGGGGAGAAAAUCACUUCCAACUCCAGAGCUAUCUAGGGGAAAAGAAGGAGCAAAGAAGAAGAAACUUGCUCAAACAAAACUCAAGGGACUUUAUCACCAGCAGAACUGCCCUGAAAAAAAUGUGAAAAGACAUCCCUCAGGGAGAAGGAAAAUGACAUGGGUCAGAAACUCAGAACUACAUGAAGAAAGGAAGUGUGUUGGAGAGCAGAACUGAAUACUCCCAAACAGAGCAGCAAACACGUUAAGAAUCCUACAAAGAGCAAUCCUCCACAGGUCUGUCCUCCAGCCCUUCUGUGCAGUUCCCCCAGGUCAGCCAGAAUCUCCGUGAGCACAGCUGGGAAGGACUUAGGUGCUGGGGAUUGUUUGGCUCCAACUGUCCAGGUGCAAAGGAGACCGUUCUGCUGGAAGAUGAGGUGAUGCCGGUCCGGGUGUCCAGGCUUUCAACCCUGAGGAAGCAGGUUAAGUGGCAGAGGCAAGCAGGGGGCAGAUGAGAAUAGUCCCAUCUGGGGAGGUGCGUAAAUUGGGCCUCCAGAAAAUGGUGUUUUCUACUGGACAAUGGUUUUAAAAAGUGCUUUAGGUGUGCAGAGAAUUGAGAGAUCACUGGCUCUUUUGGAAUUGUUUUUGAGCCUUUAUUUUAAGAAAGAAGAGGAAACAAACAUUGAAAGUAUGCCUGCGUGAUGCCAAGACUCAUUUGUUUUAAAAGAAAGUUGGAAUAAACACCGGAUACACAAACUUUGUAGUGGAGAAUACAGCAUAUUCAAAAAGAAACUAAGGAACUUGGAAAGGAAGAGUGAAGGGUCAUAUGUACCAGAUACUAAAAUGGAUUUAAUCACCUUUAAAGAAAGAUUUGUACAAAUGGUUAGCCAGAUAAGAUAAUUUAUAUCUUACAUUUCAUAUUUCUGGUGUCAAGAAAAGAUCCUCUUUUAUUACUUUGACAAUCCCUCUUAUGACACACAAGAGAAAAAUACAAAGUCAACCAAAAAUAAAUUCCUCAUUUCAAGCAAGAUGGUGAACAGAAAUAGCUAGCCUUUGUUAAGGUUUCUGAUUUAUUUAUGGACUUCUCUACAUCAUGGAAAACACUUUGGCUACUUUCUUACUGUUCCAUAAGGAGAGAAAAGCACUAGUAGAUUCAUAAAAAUUGUAACUUCAAAGAAUUGUCUGAGAGGGUGUUUGGAGAAAAAGAUCCAGAGACCCAGGCAAUGUUACAAGUAAAAAAUUAAUUUAAAUGAUCCUAAAUUAUAAAAAUAACAGAAAUCAUAUGUCCACCUUUCUGUUCUAGGCUCACCUUUGUCUUCCCAGAAAAUUUUGUAUGCUAUCCUCUAAAACAGCGCUUCUUGCAGGGUAAUGCGUUGUUUGAUGUUGAAAUAUGCAGCAAAAUCUGUAUAAAAAGCAUUUCGUAGAGAUAAACAGGAAGUCAUUCACUCUUUAAAAAAGACUUGUAAAACUAGUUGCUAAUGGCAAAAAGAGCAGCAAAGCUGUGAUUUUUGUUAGCUGUGCUUCUAAUGAAGCAGGCCUUGCAGGUUGAGGCAAGGUUGGGCCGAGCGGGAGCAGGGAGGGCAGCCUGAAGUCAUCUGUCUUGGGUGAGAGCAUAGCGCUCUCUCUGCAGUGAACGUGCAGUAAUAAUUAUUCAUCUAAUUAUCUGUGGUUUCUGCUUUUCAGGGAAUGCUGCUUUUUUGGACCUUGUAUAAAUCCUGUGUAGCAUUACCUUUACCAAAUUGGAAACUGAAGGUCAAGGGUUCUCAAUUACUUCUAUGCCUCUGAAGUAUUCACCUGAGCAGCACACCCAGGGGGUGAAGGGGAGGGUGACAUGGGUCCCUUGGAGGGGUGGUUGACAGUCUUGGAACCUCAUGCUUUACUUUGACAAACUGCCUCGAGACAGUGGUACGUUCCUUCCAACCCCUUCCAGUUGAGCAUAUUUGUUGUAAAAAUCAAAGAAACUCUUUAAGAUUGUGCAGCAUAAUCUCGGCCAGUUCUGAACAAGAGAAAGCUAAGUGCCUCUGAAGCUUUCAAAUACAUAAAACAGUCUGUGUGUAACCUCUAUAUUGCAGAGCCGGGCUGUGCGUGGAAGAGUCUUUCAUAGGACUUGUCUCGUUCUGUAAUGUGACUUCACCGAUCUUAACCGAUCAUCUUGGGGUGUCUAUUAUGUUUGGAAUGACUGAGCCUCUCUAGGUAUUGUUGUAGCUCAAGAUCCUAACAGUAGUACAGCACUUCUAUAGUCAGUAGAACUUACAAAAUGUUAAUGUAGCAAGUCUUACCCCAGUUUGAAUGAGCAAGAUAUUUUGCAACGCCUAAAAACUCAUUAACAUUACUAAUAUUUGUUUCUUUAGGACAAAAAUACUCGAUGUUAUUCACUUUCACUAGGUGUACAAUGCCCACAAGGCUGGACGUCCUGCUGUCAAUUUGUUACUAUAAACUUUUGUUGAACAUUUUAUUUGACUCCACAUUAGGUCCAGGUAUAUAAAGAUAACUAUGUGAAAAUUUAAGAAGAGGCAGAAAACCUACCGGACACAAAAAGAACCAAAUAAGAUAAAGUAUAACCAUAUUUUAAUGGAGGGGCAAAGAGUUCAAGUCAUAUCACUAGACUUUGAAGGCAUUAUAUAUUUAAACACAAUAAUUUCUGAGCCUGGGAUAUCAAGAAAACUAUAAUCUUUUCAAGGCAUAUUUUGUUUAAGAAGGCAUGGACAGGCAUAUACAUGUGGAUAAUCCACCCAGUUGUAGACAUAAGAUCUAUGUACUUUUUUGCAUGUAAGUUAUAACUCAGUUACCAGAAGGAGGUAUAUUAUGUUACAUCCAGCAUCAUUAAAAAAUGGAGGGCUCCUUUGGGUAAUCCCUCACCUAUUUACCCAUUUAUUCAGAAUAUUUGUUACUCAGGGGUUCUGUAUAGCUCAGGCUUUCUCUGUUUUACUGUAUAGUCUGCAUUAGUACAUCAUUAAAUUUCUCUCUAUCUCAUUACUUUUGGUGAAUAAUUUAGUUUCUUAAGCAUGAUCAUUAAGUACCUGCUCAUUUACCUAAUGUUUUUUCAGACAUGUACAAUAUAAUUCUCAUACUAUAUUAGUAUCACAUUUUUCAGUCUCAUGUGAGAGACUAAAUGCUAUAAUUAUAAAAAGAACUUCACAUGUGUCAUGCUUUGGGGAUUUUCUAGAACACUGGACUAGGUCAGAGCAAUUUUCACAGUGGCCACAGAUCUAGAACAAAUAUUCUCGUGCUCUGAAAGCCCUGGCAGCACCCCAGAACCCCAGACUCCAGGGUUGCAGAUCCCAGUUUUGAACAUUAUGAAACUUCCUCCUAAACAAUAGAAAAAUUGAUUCUGUGGUUAGAAAGCCUGUGAUUAGCUAUAAGGCAGGCUAAAAAUGUGAAUUUAUGCAGUUUGGAGAAGGCAUAGAGAUAAUGUCAACUUUAAUUACUGUUUUUUCCAAACACAGAGGAUAGGCCAAAGGUCAUGAGUGGAAAUUAAAGAAAAAUGGAAAACAGAUGUUAGGGAAGCUCGCUAUAGGAAUGGAAACACAAGCAGCACUGAAUACUAUUAAAGAAAAAAAAGACCACUGCAAAAAAAAACACACAAAAAACCAGAAAGUGAGGAUCUUAUGAAAGUUCUAUUUUCAUAAUGGUAUGUUUAAAAUAGUUUGACUUUUAAAUAUUUUACUAAGUGAUUUAAUUUCAUGUAUUCUUUUCCUUACAUUUAGAGACAUAAUGCAGGAGCAAAAGGAGAUCUUAAAACCCACCAUUAUAAACGCUGUCUGAAAAGAUGAUGCCGACAAAAAGUCUCUCCUUAACAACUGAAAAUCCAGGCAUUCCUCCCCAGCCCCACCCCAAGUAUCAAACUUUAACAAACAAAAGUUUUUCUUUUCUUUCAAUUGACAGUGGUAGUCACUUUUUAAAAUACAUUUAUUCUCAAAUCAUCUUUCCAUUAGGACACUUGAAUAAGUUUCCUUGACAUUAACAAGAGCUAUGCAGAUUUACUAUGGUGAGAAAUAGGUACUUAGGCAGAAAUUCAUUUAGAUUAUAAAAUACAUCAUAAUGACUCUCCAAUGAAUUGCUGACUUUGUUGGUAUAUCAAGAAGAUCUAUGUGUUUUGACAUGUUUUGACUUUUAUAUAUUAUCUUCAGCUAAAGUAAAGGAAGAUAUUGCAAGAUCAACGAAAAUACAUAAAUUGGUCCAGCUGACUGCUGAAUAAGAAUCAGUGAAAAUGGAGAGAAGAGAAAACGAUGGAUAUGGAUAUUUAGCCUGUAGAAUAAAUAGGAUUUUGUGGCUGGACGAAGAUGGAGUGAGGGAGGGAAGAAAUUUAGGAAAUAAGUCUGGCUUUGAACAGAUUUGGUUUCUUUGGGGUGUUCAAGUGAAAAAAAUCCCGAAUACAACAGAUAUUAUAGCAAUGAAUCUUGGAGGUGUAUGCUGAGACUGAUAAUAUCAAGAACUGGAAUUAUUUAACAGAUGAGUAGUGCUUGAACCAUGGGAAAGCAGAGUGCAAGACAAUGCUAUGAUCAAGACCCUGGGGACCAUUAACACUUCAGGGACUGCCAGCAAAGCAGACUUAGAAGGAUUGCUCAGAGAGGUAAGAAAUAAACCGAGAGAAAAUAGUUCUACAGAAGCCAAGACAGAAGAGAUUUUUCUGGAAGUAGGGAUAAUCCCUCAUUGUCAGAGGCUGCAGAAAGGUCAUGUUAAACAAGAACUGAUAAACUAAGCCAUUAUUGAUUGCCCUUAAGAGUGAUUUGAGCAAGUGGAGACGGUGAGGAAACAGAGAUGCUGUUUUCCAGAUAGUGGCUUGACCAGGUGUUCUAUAAAUAGAUAUAUAAAAAUAUAUGAAUAUUUGGGCAUCUUGGGGUCGUCUAUUUGUCUAUUUGGUUUAUUGUUUUGCCUCACCACCCUCUAAAAACAAUGUUAGGCUCAACAGAUUUUAAUACCAGACUUAAUAUUAAGAUGGGAAUAUUUGCUGAGCUGUGCAGAGGACAGGCUCUUGGUGCUCCAGCCAGGCAUCAGGGCUGUGCGACGGAGGUGGAGAGCCAAGUUUGGGACACUGGUCCACAAGAGACAUCCCAGUUCCACGUAAUAUCAAACAGUGAAAAUCUCCCAUAGAUCUCCAUCUCAACACCAAGACCCAGCUCCACUCAACGACCAGCAGACUAUAGUGCAGGACACCCUAUGCCAAACAACUAGCAAGACAGGAACUCAAACCCAUCCAUUAGCACAGAGGCUGCCUAAAAUCAUAAUAAGGCCACAGACACCCCAAAACACACCACCAGACGUGGACCUGCCCACCAGAAAGACAAGAUCCAGCCUCAUCCACCAGAACACAGGCACUAGUCCCCUACAUCAGGAAAUCUACACAACCCACUGAACCAACCGUAGCCACUGGGGACAGACACCAAAAAUAACGGGAACUACGAACCUGCAGCCUGCCAAAAGGAGACCCCAAACACAGUAAGAUAAGCAAAAUGAGAAGACAGAAAA